GCGGCGCACAUAAGACAUGCAAGUCGAACGAACUUAAUCUUUUAGUUUACUAAUAGAAGCGGUUAGUGGCGGACUGGUGAGUAACGCGUAAGCAAUCUGCCUAUCAGAGGGGGACAACAGUGAGAAAUCACUGCUAAUACCGCAUAUGCUGUGAGUAUGGCAUCGUACAAACAGAAAAGGAGUAAUCCGCUGAUAGAUGAGCUUGCGUCUGAUUAACUAGUUGGUAAGGUAACGGCCUACCAAGGCGAUGAUCAGUAGCCGGACUGAGAGGUUGAACGGCCACAUUGGGACUGAGAUACGGCCCAGACUCCUACGGGAGGCAGCAGUCGGGAAUAUUGCGCAAUGGAGGAAACUCUGACGCAGUGACGCCGCGUGCAGGAUGAAGGUUUUCGGAUUGUAAACUGCUUUAGAUAGGGAAGAAACAAAUGACGGUACCUAUAGAAUAAGCUCCGGCUAACUGCGUGCCAGCAGCCGCGGUAAUACGUAGGGAGCAAGCGUUAUCCGGAUUUAUUGGGUGUAAAGGGUGCGUAGACGGGCAAGCAAGUUAGCUGUGAAAUCCCUCGGCUUAACCGAGGAACUGCAGCUAAAACUACUAGUCUUGAGUACUGGAGGGGAUUGCGGAAUUCCUAGUGUAGCGGUGAAAUGCGUAGAUAUUAGGAAGAACACCGGUGGCGAAGGCGGCAAUCUGGACAGCAACUGACGUUGAGGCACGAAAGUGUGGGGAGCAAACAGGAUUAGAUACCCUGGUAGUCCACACUGUAAACGAUGGAUACUAGGUGUUGGUGAUGAUGAGUCAUCAGUGCCGUCGCAACGCAGUA
rnacentral:rRNA from 1 species